GAUGAACGCUGGCGGCGUGCUUAACACAUGCAAGUCGAACGGUGAAGGCGGAGCUUGCUCUGCUGGAUCAGUGGCGAACGGGUGAGUAACACGUGAGCAAUCUGCCCCUGACUCUGGGAUAAGCGCUGGAAACGGCGUCUAAUACUGGAUACGAGCUGCGAAGGCAUCUUCAGCAGCUGGAAAGAACUUCGGUCAGGGAUGAGCUCGCGGCCUAUCAGCUUGUUGGUGAGGUAACGGCUCACCAAGGCGUCGACGGGUAGCCGGCCUGAGAGGGUGACCGGCCACACUGGGACUGAGACACGGCCCAGACUCCUACGGGAGGCAGCAGUGGGGAAUAUUGCACAAUGGGCGAAAGCCUGAUGCAGCAACGCCGCGUGAGGGACGACGGCCUUCGGGUUGUAAACCUCUUUUAGCAGGGAAGAAGCGAAAGUGACGGUACCGGCAGAAAAAGCGCCGGCUAACUACGU
rnacentral:rRNA from 1 species